AUAAGUCAGUUACUGCCCUUUGUUUAUAUUCGAUAAGGAUAAAUAAAUCAAAAUAAAUUGCAAUUUAUCAUACGUGAAAACCCUAUGUGUUUAUUAUGUACUCAUCACUGACAUCAGUUAAAGAUUUUUGGCCAAAGGAAACAUCUAUUCCAAGCUGGCAGAUCUUCAUGGAAUCAGCAGAUCAUCUUUCGUUAUUUGACAUGCCUUCACGAGUUCAAUCAGCAAACAUAUGAUCGGUUUCCAGUCCGUGUACAACAACAAACUUGCAUGAAGGUUGGAUUCUGCCACAAGGCCUGGGAGCAGUGGAUGGGACACUCAUACCCAUAAUACUGAAUACGUUAUAAUACACACAUGCAGUUGAACACAGCAGGAACUCUUGAAGAAAUCAAAGUACUGGCAGUAGUGGUGUGACGAUGCUUUUGAAGAGGAUGGAUAUAAAACAUCAAUUUAAGUUUAUCUAUAUCACCACAAGUGUGUAUGUUGAUACGAACAUUUGGGUACGAUAAAAAUUUUGGGUACGAAAAAAAAUUUG